AUUGAACGCUGGCGGCAGGCCUAACACAUGCAAGUCGAGCGGUAGAGAGAAGCUUGCUUCUCUUGAGAGCGGCGGACAGGUGAGUAAUGCCUAGGAAUCUGCCUGGUAGUGGGGGAUAACGUUCGGAAACGGACGCUAAUACCGCAUACGUCCUACGGGAGAAAGCAGGGGACCCUCGGGCCUUGCGCUAUCAGAUGAGCCUAGGUCGGAUUAGCUAGUUGGUGAGGUAAUGGCUCACCAAGGCGACGAUCCGUAACUGGUCUGAGAGGAUGAUCAGUCACACUGGAACUGAGACACGGUCCAGACUCCUACGGGAGGCAGCAGUGGGGAAUAUUGGACAAUGGGCGAAAGCCUGAUCCAGCCAUGCCGCGUGUGUGAAGAAGGUCUUCGGAUUGUAAAGCACUUUAAGUUGGGAGGAAGGGUUGUAGAUUAAUACUCUGCAAUUUUGACGUUACCGACAGAAUAAGCACCGGCUAACUCUGUGCCAGCCGCCGCGGUAA
rnacentral:rRNA from 1 species